UUCUGCUGAUGUUGUUGAGGUUGAAAAUAUUGUUGUGUAAUAUGGUUGAUAAUUUGAUUUUUUGGUGAUUUGGAGAGUUGAUAUUUUUAUUCUAUUUUUUGAUUAUGGGUUUUCUUCUUUUGAUUCUAUUUGUUGCACUUUUUUGGGGAUUUUGGUACCUUUUGUUUUGUUAAAUUUUUGUGUUUGUGAGUUGGUAUAUUGAUUCUAAAGAAAGUCGUGUGGCUUCUCAUGCAUUUUCUAAAGUAGGACCCCCAAAGCUCGAGCUUCAAAUGGGCUGCAAGUAGGUUUUUAUAUUUAUGUGUAUGAUUGUGAUUUCAUGAUUGAAAAUUUGAAAUAGUCAAUUUUACUUUGUCAAUAUACCAUCUCUCUAUCCUUUACUAUUCUUUGCUGCCGUUGGUGGGUUGUUGAGAAUCAAAUUGGAAAAAAGGACUUGAUCAUUGAAGAUUGUGAUGCAAAGCAGUCCGUUUAUGUUUAUGGAUGCAAAGAGUCAAUUUUGCAUAUUCAAGGCAAGGUCAACAAUAUCACUAUUGACAAGUGCACAAAGAUGGGAGUUGUAUUUAAGGAUGUUGUUGCAGCUUUUGAGAUUGUAAACUGCAAUGGUGUUAAGGUGCAAUGUCAGG